UACGUAGGGUGCAAGCGUUGUCCGGAAUUAUUGGGCGUAAAGAGCUCGUAGGCGGUCUGUCGCGUCUGCUGUGAAAACCUGGGGCUUAACCCCGGGCCUGCAGUGGGUACGGGCAGACUAGAGUGUGGUAGGGGAGACUGGAAUUCCUGGUGUAGCGGUGAAAUGCGCAGAUAUCAGGAGGAACACCGGUGGCGAAGGCGGGUCUCUGGGCCGUAACUGACGCUGAGGAGCGAAAGCGUGGGGAGCGAACAGG
rnacentral:rRNA from 1 species